rnacentral:rRNA from 1 species
UGAGGAAUAUUGGGCAAUGCCCGAAAGGGUGACCCAGCAACGCCGCGUGGAGGAUGACGGUCGUAAGAUUGUAAACUCCUGUUAGAGGGGAAGAAUAACUAAGUUUGGAGCUUAGUAUGACUGUACCCUCAGAGAAAGCCCCGGCUAACUACGUGCCAGCAGCCGCGGUAAUACGUAGGGGGCAAGCGUUGUCCGGAUUUACUGGGUGUAAAGGGCGCGCAGGCGGAAUGGAAAGUCAGUGGUGAGAUCCUACAGCUUAACUGUAGAACUGCCUUUGAUACUUUCAUUCUUGAGUUCGGGAGAGAGAGACUGAAUUCCAGGUGUAGUGGUGAAAUACGUAGAUAUCUGGAAGAACACCAGUUGCGAAGGCGGUCUCUUGGUCCGAUACUGACGCUGAGGCGCGAAAGCGUGGGGAGCAAACA